GCGGCAAACGGGUGAGUAAUAUCUGGGAAUCUACCCAAAAGAGGGGGAUAACUACUAGAAAUGGUAGCUAAUACCGCAUAAAGUUGAAAAACCAAAGUGGGGGACCUUAAAAGGCCUCAUGCUUUUGGAUGAGCCCAGAAGAGAUUAGCUUGUUGGUAAGGUAAAAGCUUACCAAGGCCACGAUCUCUAGCUGGUCUGAGAGGAUAACCAGCCACACUGGAACUGAGACACGGUCCAGACUCCUACGGGAGGCAGCAGUGGGGAAUAUUGCACAAUGGGCGAAAGCCUGAUGCAGCUAUGCCGCGUGUAUGAAGAAGGCCUUAGGGUUGUAAAGUACUUUCAGCGGGGAGGAAAAAAAUAAAACUAAUAAUUUUAU
rnacentral:rRNA from 2 species